UUAAGUAAGGAAGGGCGUACGGCGAAUGCCUUGCCACUCGAAACUGAAGAAGGACGCGCCAAACUGCGAAAAGCUCCGUGAAGCUGUAAGGAAGCGAAGAAGCGGAGGUGUCCGAAUGGGGGAACCCGGCAGCAGACAUGAGCUGUCAUCUGCAGGUGAAUACAUGGCCUGCAAGAGAGGUACCCGGCGAACUGAAACAUCUAAGUAGCCGGAGGAAAAGAAAACAACAGUGAUUCCCUGAGUAGCGGCGAGCGAAAGGGGAGAAGCCCAAACCGGUUGAAGGACCGGGGUUGAAGGACCAUGACAUGGCAAGAACGAGGAUAGGAGAACGGGAUCGAAAGCCCGGCCGAAGAAGGUGAAAGCCCUGUAACCGAAAUCCGAGUAAAGCCUAAUGGGAUCCUGAGUACGGCGAGACACGAGAAAUCUUGUCGGAAGCAGGCGGGACCAUCCGCCAAGGCUAAAUAUAAACGAGUGAGCGAUAGUGAACCAGUACCGUGAGGGAAAGGUGAAAAGAACCGCGGGAGCGGAGUGAAAGAGAACCUGAAACCGUAUGCCUACAAGAAGUCAGAGCCCGUUAAGGGGUGAUGGCGUGCCUUUUGUAGAAUGAACCGGCGAGUUGCGACAGACUGCGAGGUUAAGGAGGAAAGACCGGAGCCGAAGCGAAAGCGAGUCUUAAGAGGGCGAAAGUAGGAUGUUGCAGACCCGAAACCGGGUGAUCUAGCCAUGAGCAGGUUGAAGUUGAGGUGAAACUCAAUGGAGGACCGAACCGACUACCGUUGAAAAGUUAGCGGAUGACUUGUGGCUAGGGGAGAAAUUCCAAUCGAACCCGGAGAUAGCUGGUUCUCCCCGAAAUAGCUUUAGGGCUAGCGUCGGAAAGAACCUUAGUGAAGGUAGAGCACUGAAUGUGUGAUGGCCCCAUCCCGGGGUACUGAAUACAAUCAAACUGCGAAUGUCAUUAAGGAUGUCCGGCAGUCAGACUGUGAGUGAUAAGGUCCAUGGUCAAGAGGGAAACAGCCCAGACCGCCAGUUAAGGUCCCAAAAUACAGGCUAAGUGGAAAAGGAUGUGGGGAUGCCCAGACAACUAGGAGGUUGGCUCAGAAGCAGCCAUCCUUUAAAGAGUGCGUAACAGCUCACUAGUCGAGUGACCCUGCGCCGAAAAUGUACCGGGGCUAAGCCUGAUACCGAAACUGCGGAUUGUAGGAAACUAUAGUGGUAGGGGAGCGUUGUAUACGAGCAGAAGCCGUACCGUGAGGAGCGGUGGAUUGUAUAGAAGUGAGAAUGCCGGUGUGAGUAGCGAGAUGUAGGUGAGAAUCCUACACACCGAAAGCCCAAGGAUUCCAGGGGAAGGUUCGUCCGCCCUGGGUAAGUCGGGACCUAACGCGAGGCCGAAAGGCGUAGUGGAUGGAAAGCAGGCGAAAGAUUCCUGCACCCGUAUAUGGAGCGAAGGAGUGACGGAGACGGAUAGUGUGACCCUCUUAAUGGAUUGAGGGCGAAGCGAAGCGGCUGGUUACCAGGCAAAUCCGGUAACCAAAAGGCUAGAGCGUGACAGGUAAGCGAAAUCUUAGGAAAGUAGCGAAGCACAUGAUGACGGCUUCCAGGAAAAGCUUCUGGCAAUGCAUAUGCGGCCCGUACCAAAACCGACACAGGUGGGCAGGGAGAGAAUCCCGAGGUGAGCGAGAGAACUGUUGCCAAGGAACUCGGCAAAAUGACUCCGUAAGUUAGCGAGAAGGAGUGCUUAAGCAAUUAAGCCGCAGUGAAGAGGCCCAAGCGACUGUUUAACUAAAACACAGCUCUCUGCGAAGUCGCAAGACGAAGUAUAGGGGGUGACACCUGCCCGGUGCUGGAAGGUUAAGAGGAUCUGUUAAGAGCGAUCUGAAGCAGUGAUCCGAAGCCCCAGUGAACGGCGGCCGUAACUAUAACGGUCCUAAGGUAGCGAAAUUCCUUGUCAGGUAAGUUCUGACCCGCACGAAAGGUGUAA
rnacentral:rRNA from 1 species